AGCGAACGCUGGCGGCAGGCCUAACACAUGCAAGUCGAACGAACUCUUCGGAGUUAGUGGCGGACGGGUGAGUAACACGUGGGAACGUGCCUUUUGGUUCGGAAUAACUCAGGGAAACUUGUGCUAAUACCGAAUGUGCCCUUCGGGGGAAAGAUUUAUCGCCAUUAGAGCGGCCCGCGUCUGAUUAGCUAGUUGGUGAGGUAACGGCUCACCAAGGCGACGAUCAGUAGCUGGUCUGAGGGGAUGACCAGCCACACUGGGACUGAGACACGGCCCAGACUCCUACGGGAGGCAGCAGUGGGGAAUCGUGCGCAAUGGGCGAAAGCCAGACGCAGACAUGCCGCGUGAAUGAUGAAGGUCUUAGGAGUGUAAAAUUCUUUCACCGGGGACGAUAAUGACGGUACCCGGAGAAGAAGCCCCGGCUAACUUCGUG
rnacentral:rRNA from 1 species